UACGAAGGGGGCUAGCGUUGUUCGGAAUUACUGGGCGUAAAGCGCACGUAGGCGGAUUGUUAAGUUAGGGGUGAAAUCCCAGGGCUCAACCCUGGAACUGCCUUUAAUACUGGCAAUCUCGAGUCCGAGAGAGGUGAGUGGAAUUCCGAGUGUAGAGGUGAAAUUCGUAGAUAUUCGGAGGAACACCAGUGGCGAAGGCGGCUCACUGGCUCGGUACUGACGCUGAGGUGCGAAAGCGUGGGGAGCA
rnacentral:rRNA from 1 species